rnacentral:rRNA from 1 species
AAAAGAAACCAACAGGGAUUGCCUUAGUAACGGCGAGUGAAGCGGCAAAAGCUCAAAUUUGAAAUCUGGCGUCUUCGGCGUCCGAGUUGUAAUUUGAAGAAGGCUACUUUGGGGCUGGAGUUUGUCUAAGUUCCUUGGAACAGGACGUCACAGAGGGUGAGAAUCCCGUGAGAUAAGCUUCCCAGUUCUAUGUAAAGUGCUUUCGAAGAGUCGAGUUGUUUGGGAAUGCAGCUCUAAGUGGGUGGUAAAUUCCAUCUAAAGCUAAAUAUUGGCGAGAGACCGAUAGCGAACAAGUACAGUGAUGGAAAGAUGAAAAGAACUUUGAAAAGAGAGUGAAAAAGUACGUGAAAUUGUUGAAAGGGAAGGGCUUGAGAUCAGACAUGGUAUUUUGUAAACCUUCUCUCUCGUGGAGGGGGCCCCUUGCAGCUUACUGGGCCAGCAUCAGUUUGGGCGGUAGGAUAAUGACUAAGGAAUGUGACUUGCCUUCGGGGAAGUGUUAUAGCCUUGGUUGAUACUGCCAGCCUAGACUGAGGACCGCGUCU